rnacentral:lncRNA from 1 species
GUGGAAAUACUAGUUUGUUCGGUGGAAAGUAGUUUAAUAGAUGCAAAAUGGAAAUCAAUUGGUGGAAAUGGAGACAAACCUAGGGAAUAGAUGUUCUAGGGCUUAGGAACUCGAAAAAUGAAGAGGAGAACGAAAUUUAGAGAUGACGAGGGGUGAAAAAUGAAGGAAGAGGACUAUUCUGUGAUGAAUUAAAACUUACUUUCGNAGAUGAAGAGCUCUUCGACAGAGAGCGACAUGUUUUUUGGCGACGAAGGAAAUGUGAGAAAUGAAGUGGUUCUCUGAUGCUUAAGAGAAUAUGUGAUGCGCUGAUGUGCUCGAUGCACUGAUGUGCUCAAAGCGCUGAUGCAUAAGCGAAAAACACUGACGAAGCGAAGAUGUGUCUGACGAGUGGUGCAGCGUGGAGGAAUGCUUUCGGUGGAGAAAAGAGAUUUGAGGAGCACAAUGGAAAAUGAGAAAUGAGACAGGGAAAGUGUGUUCGAAAUAGAGAAGAGAAGGGAAGAAGGAGCCUUCGAACGUAACCCUGAUCCCCAAUCGUCACUCUAGGAUUUCUUUGGGCUUCUUGGCCUACCCGAAAUAACAGAAAUAAAAAGAAAAUAAAUAAGGAUACCAAAUAAAAAUAAAACCAACUUUCAUUCCCACUGUACUUAUUUAUUUAAUAUUCUUUUAUGAUUUAAUCAUAUAGGUACUUUCUAUUUCUAAUAAUUUUUCUUAUUUAUUCAUCUUUGCUUAUUUUAUUUUUUGAAAAAAUUAAAC